AUAGAGAGGGUGAUGGGGUGGCCGAUGGACAGGGUGAUGGGGUUGUAGAUAGACAGGGUGAUGGGGUGGCGGAUAGACAGUGUGAUGAGGUCACAGAUAGACAGGGUGAUGGGGUGACAGAUAGAUAGGGUGAUGGGGUGACAGAUAGACAGUGUGAUUGGGUGACAGAGAGACAGGGUGAUAGGGUUGCAGAUGGACAGGGUGAUGAGGUGAAAGAUAGACAGGGUGAUGGGGUGACAGAUAGACAGAGUGAUGGGGUGAAAGAUAGACAGGGCGAUGAGGUGACAGAUAGACAGGGUGAUGAGGUGACAGAUAGACAGGGUGAUGAGGUGACAGAUAGACAGAGUGAUGGGGUGAAAGAUAGACAGGGCGAUGAGCUGACAGAUAGACAGGGUGAUGGGGUGGGAGAUUGAUGGGGUGAUGAGGUGACUGAUAGACAGGGUGAUGGGGUGGCCGAUGGACAGUGUGAUGGGGUGACAGAUAGACAGG